UGUUUUACCCGGUUAAAAACUAGCAUAUCAAUAAGCGGAGGAAGAGAAACCAACAGGGAUUGCCUUAGUAACUGCGAGUGAAGCGGCAAAAGCUCAGAUUUGAAAUCUGUGCCCUUCCGGGCACCGAGUUGUAAUUUUGAGAUACGUUUUCGACCGACAGGCCUGCCUUAAGUUCCUUGGAACAGGACGUCACAGAGGGUGAGAAUCCCGUGAAUGGUAGGCCUCGACGCACACGAUACGUAUUCGACGAGUCGAGUUGUUUGGGAAUGCAGCUCAAAAUGGGUGGUAAAUUUCAUCUAAAGCUAAAUAUUGGGGAGAGACCGAUAGCGCACAAGUAGAGUGAUCGAAAGAUGAAAAGCACUUUGAAAAGAGAGUUAAAAAGUACGUGAAAUUGUUGAAAGGGAAGCGCUUGAGACCAGACUCAAUCACCGUUGAUCAACUUCAGUUCUCUGUUGUGCACUCGGCGGUUUUUGGGACAGCAUCGGUUCUGGCGGAGGGACAAAGCCUUAGGAAAUGUGGCACUCUUCGGGGUGUGUUAUAGUCCUUCGGGCAAUGCCUCCAGCCGGGACCGAGGACCGCGCCUCGGCUAGGAUGCUGUCAUAAUGGUCUUCAGCGACCCGUCUUGAAACACGGACCAAGGAGUCUAACAUCUAUGCGAGUGUUCGGGUGGAAAACCCUUGCGCGUAAUGAAAGUGAACGGAGGUGGGAAUCGUGAGAUGCACCAUCGACCGAUCCUGAAGUCUUCUGAAGGAUUUGAGUACGAGCAUAGCUGUUGGGACCCGAAAGAUGGUGAACUAUGCCUGAAUAGGGUGAAGCCAGGGGAAACUCUGGUGGAGGCUCGCAGCGGUUCUGACGUGCAAAUCGAUCGUCAAAUUUGGGUAUAGGGGCGAAAGACUAAUCGAACCAUCUUUU
rnacentral:rRNA from 1 species